CGCGCCAAAAGGGGCGGUUUCCCGCGUGAAAUGAUUGCAUUUCCCUCCAAAACCUCAGACGCUGUAUUAAUUACUGAUGGAUCUUCACUCUGGUCAGAUGGCUCUUCUCUGAGGACAUGAACACGGUGAACAGUGGGACUUGUCUUCAGCUUCAGGUGGAACAGCUGUGGCCUGUACGGUGAUCAGACCCAGAGAGGAGACACACUCAGUCCAACAAGGUGAUGGACGUGAUGGAAGUAACGAGAGCAGCCAGUUGGUGCUCGGCCCAGGACAGGAC